GGCAAAGCCUCUUAAUGAGACAGAAGUGGGCAUUGUUAUAAAACCCUAGAAACUAGUACUCUUCGUAGAGAAUGCAGAAAGUGUGCAGGACACUGUAACAAGACUGUAUAAUACAGAAGCAGGUGAAAAACGUAUUAAGUGAAAUAUAAAAUAGUAGGUAGCUAUGGAAGUCAUCUUUAAAAGGAUGAACAAGGAAAUGGAUGGUAUUUAUCG